rnacentral:rRNA from 1 species
UACGUAGGGUGCGAGCGUUAAUCGGAAUUACUGGGCGUAAAGCGUGCGUAGGCGGUUUUGUAAGUCAGAUGUGAAAUCCCCGGGCUUAACCUGGGAACUGCGUUUGAAACUACAGAGCUAGAGUGUGGCAGAGGGGGGUGGAAUUCCACGUGUAGCAGUGAAAUGCGUAGAUAUGUGGAGGAACACCGAUGGCGAAGGCAACCCCCUGGGCCAACACUGACGCUGAGGCACGAAAGCGUGGGGAGCAAACAGG